GAUGAACGCUGGCGGCGUGCCUAAUACAUGCAAGUCGAGCGAACGGACGAGAAGCUUGCAUCUCUGAUGUUAGCGGCGGACGGGUGAGUAACACGUGGAUAACCUACCUAUAAGACUGGGAUAACUUCGGGAAAACGGAGCUAAUACCGGCUAAUAUUUUGAACCGCAUGGUUCAAAAGUAAAAGAAGGUCUUGCUGUCACUUAUAGAUGGAUCCGCGCUGCAUUAGCUAGUUGGUAAGGUAACGGCUUACCAAGGCAACGAUGCAUAGCCGAACUGCGAGGGUAGCCGGCCACACUGGAACUGAGACACGGUCCAGACUCCUACGUGAGGCAGCAGUAGGCAAUCUUCCGCAAUGGGCUAAAGCCUGACGGAGCAACGCCUCGUGAGUGAUGAAGGUCUUCGGAUCUUAAGACUCUGUUAUUAGGGAGGAACAUAUGUUUAAGUACCUGUGCACAUCUUGACGGUGCCUAAUCAGAAAGCCACGGCUAACCACGUG
rnacentral:rRNA from 1 species